rnacentral:rRNA from 1 species
GAUGAACGCUGGCGGCGUGCUUAACACAUGCAAGUCGAGCGAGAAGUUUUGAAAAGAUUCUUCGGAUGAAAUGUAAAAUGGAAAGCGGCGGACGGGUGAGUAACGCGUAGGCAACCUGCCCCAUACAAAGGGAUAGCAUUUGGAAACGAAUAUUAAUACCUUAUGAAACUUAACUAGUGCAUGCUAGGUAGGUCAAAGAUUUAUCGGUAUGGGAUGGGCCUGCGUCUGAUUAGCUAGUUGGUGAGGUAACGGCUCACGAACGCGACGAUCAGUAGCCGACCUGGGAGGCUGGACGGACACAUUGGGAGUGAGACACGGUCCAAACUCCUACGGGAGGCAGGAGUGGGGAAUAUUGCACAGUGGGGGAAACACUGAUGAAGCCACGCUGCGUGAACGAUGACGGCCUUUGGGUCGUAGAGUUCUGUUGUAGGUGAUGGAAACUGACGGUAACCGAGGAGAAAGCCCCGGCUAACUCCGUG